AAAAAAAUAAGCUAAAUUUAAGCUAAUGAAUUCAUACUUCAUUGAUAAAAGAAAUCUUUUUUUUUUUA
rnacentral:tRNA from 1 species